rnacentral:rRNA from 1 species
AAUCCAUAGGUUAAUGAGGCGAACCGGGGGAACUGAAACAUCUAAGUACCCCGAGGAAAAGAAAUCAACCGAGAUUCCCCCAGUAGCGGCGAGCGAACGGGGAGGAGCCCAGAGCCUGAAUCAGCAUGUGUGUUAGUGGAAGCGUCUGGAAAGGCGCGCGAUACAGGGUGACAGCCCCGUACACAAAAGCGCAUGUGCUGUGAGCUCGAUGAGUAGGGCGGGACACGUGGUAUCCUGUCUGAAUAUGGGGGGACCAUCCUCCAAGGCUAAAUACUCCUGACUGACCGAUAGUGAACCAGUACCGUGAGGGAAAGGCGAAAAGAACCCCGGCGAGGGGAGUGAAAAAGAACCUGAAACCGUGUACGUACAAGCAGUGGGAGCCCCACCACUAAGCCAGUGGUGAACUCCACAUAUGCAUCCUUUGCUGAGGAUACGGUUAACGGAGCGAAAGCGACGUUCAACCGCAAAAGAAGCAGAGGGGGCUUAGUGGUGGGGUGACUGCGUACCUUUUGUAUAAUGGGUCAGCGACUUAUAUUCUGUAGCAAGGUUAACCGAAUAGGGGAGCCGUAGGGAAACCGAGUCUUAACCGGGCGUUAAGUUGCAGGGUAUAGACCCGAAACCCGGUGAUCUAGCCAUGGGCAGGUUGAAGGUUGGGUAACACUAACUGGAGGACCGAACCGACUAAUGUUGAAAAAUUAGCGGAUGACCUGUGGCUGGGGGUGAAAGGC